ensembl:lncRNA
CACUAGGGUUGGAGGUGUGGUCAGGCACUAGGGUUGGAGGUGUGGUCAGGCACUAGGGAUGGAGUUGUGGUCAGGCACUAGGGAUGGAGGUGUGGUCAGGUAUUAGGGAUGGAGGUGUGGUCAGGUAUUAGGGAUGGAGUUGUGGUCAGGCACUAGGGAUUGAGGUGUGUUCAGGUAUUAGGGAUGGAGGUGUGGUCAGGUAUUAGGGAUGGAGUUGUGGUCAGGCACUAGGGAUGGAGGUGUGGUCAGGCACUAGGGAUGGAGGUGUGGUCAGGUAUUAGGGAUGGAGGUGUGGUCAGGUAUUAGGGAUGGAGGUGUGGUCAGGUAUUAUGGAUGGAGGAGGUGUGGUCAGGUAUUAGGGAUGGAGGUGUGGUCAGGUAUUAGGGAUGGAGUUAUGGUCAGGUAUUAUGGAUGGAAGUGUGGUCAGGUAUUAGGGAUGGAGGUGUGGUCAGGUAUUAUGGAUGGAGGAGGUGUGGUCAGGUAUUAGGGAUGGAGUUGUGGUCAGGCACUAGGCAUGGAGGUGUGGUCAGG